rnacentral:snoRNA from 1 species
AACAUCCACAUUCCUUAUCCUUCAGAUCUGAAUACUGGUCUGAGCAACUGAAAGGGAGGACAAGUAAAGCUGAAGUAGACUUGGGGCCUUUGAUGACAAAUGAGUUCAUGUUACAACAGA